AGAGUUUGAUCAUGGCUCAGGACGAACGCUGGCGGCGUGCUUAACACAUGCAAGUCGAACGAUGAAGCCCUUCUGGGUGGAUUAGUGGCGAACGGGUGAGUAACACGUGGGCAAUCUGCCCUGCACUCUGGGACAAGCCCUGGAAACGGGGUCUAAUACCGGAUACUGAUCGCCUUGGGCAUCCUUGGUGAUCGAAAGCUCCGGCGGUGCAGGAUGAGCCCGCGGCCUAUCAGCUUGUUGGUGAGGUAAUGGCUCACCAAGGCGACGACGGGUAGCCGGCCUGAGAGGGCGACCGGCCACACUGGGACUGAGACACGGCCCAGACUCCUACGGGAGGCAGCAGUGGGGAAUAUUGCACAAUGGGCGAAAGCCUGAUGCAGCGACGCCGCGUGAGGGAUGACGGCCUUCGGGUUGUAAACCUCUUUCAGCAGGGAAGAAGCGAAAGUGACGGUACCUGCAGAAGAAGCGCCGGCUAACUACGUGCCAGCAGCCGCGGUAAUACGUAGGGCGCGAGCGUUGUCCGGAAUUAUUGGGCGUAAAGAGCUCGUAGGCGGCUUGUCGCGUCGGUUGUGAAAGCCCGGGGCUUAACCCCGGGUCUGCAGUCGAUACGGGCAGGCUAGAGUUCGGUAGGGGAGAUCGGAAUUCCUGGUGUAGCGGUGAAAUGCGCAGAUAUCAGGAGGAACACCGGUGGCGAAGGCGGAUCUCUGGGCCGAUACUGACGCUGAGGAGCGAAAGCGUGGGGAGCGAACAGGAUUAGAUACCCUGGUAGUCCACGCCGUAAACGGUGGGCACUAGGUGUGGGCGACAUUCCACGUCGUCCGUGCCGCAGCUAACGCAUUAAGUGCCCCGCCUGGGGAGUACGGCCGCAAGGCUAAAACUCAAAGGAAUUGACGG
rnacentral:rRNA from 1 species